rnacentral:rRNA from 1 species
GGGGGGGGGGGGGGGGGGGGGGGGGGGGGGGGGGGGGGGGGGGGGGGGCGGGGGUGGGUGGGGGGCGCGGGGGGGGGACGGGGGGGUGACACGUGGGUAACCUGCCCUUGGCUUUGGGAUAACUUCAGGAAGCUGGGGCUAAUACCGGCUCGGCGCUCCUGCUGCAUGGUGGGGGUUGGCACGUUUCGGCGGUUGGGGAUGGACUCGCGGCUUCUCAGCUUGUUGGUGGGGUAGUGGCUUACCAAGGCUUUGACGGGUAGCCGGCCUGAGCGGGUGACCGGCCACAUUGGGACUGGGAUACGGCCCAGACGCCUACGGGAGGCAGCAGUGGGGAAUAUUGCACAAUGGGCGGAAGCCUGAUGCAGCAACGCCGCGUGCGGGAUGACGGCCUUCGGGUUGUAAACCGCUUUCGCCUGUGACGAAGCGUGAGUGACGUUAAUGGGUAAAGAAGCACCGGCUAACUACGUG